rnacentral:rRNA from 1 species
GACAGAGGAUGCAAGCGUUGUCCGGAAUUAUUGGGCGUAAAGAGCUCGUAGGCGGUUUGUCGCGUCUGGUGUGAAAACUCAAGGCUCAACCUUGAGCUUGCAUCGGGUACGGGCAGACUAGAGUGUGGUAGGGGUGACUGGAAUUCCUGGUGUAGCGGUGGAAUGCGCAGAUAUCAGGAGGAACACCGAUGGCGAAGGCAGGUCACUGGGCCACUACUGACGCUGAGGAGCGAAAAGCAUGGGGGAGCGAAACAGG